rnacentral:hammerhead_ribozyme from 1 species
AUCCAGAUGAUGACUCCCAAAUAGGACGAAAUGCGCGUUAUCCUGGAU